rnacentral:rRNA from 1 species
ACCCAGACUCCUACGGGAGGCAGCAGUGGGGGAUAUUGCACAAUGGGGGGAACCCUGAUGCAGCGACGCCGCGUGGGUGAAGGAGCACCUCGGUGCGUAAAGCCCUAUCGGCAGGGAAGAAACAGACGGUACCUGACUAAGAAGCCCCGGCUAACUACGUGCCAGCAGCCGCGGUAAUACGUAGGGAGCAAGCGUUAUCCGGAAUUAUUGGGUGUAAAGGGUGCGUAGACGGGAUAACAAGUUGGUUGUGAAACCCCUCGGCUCAACUGAGGAACUGCAACCAAAACUAUUAUUCUUGAGUGCAGGAGAGGAAAGUGGAAUUCCUAGUGUAGCGGUGAAAUGCGUAGAUAUUAGGAAGAACACCGGUGGCGAAGGCGACUUUCUGGACUGUAACUGACGUUGAGGCACGAAAGUGUGGGGAGCAAACAGGAUUAGAUACCCUGGUA